UACGUAGGUGGCAAGCGUUAUCCGGAUUUACUGGGUGUAAAGGGAGCGUAGGCGGGACUUUAAGUCAGAUGUGAAAUGCUGGGGCUCAACCCCAGAGCUGCAUUUGAAACUGGAGUUCUUGAGUGUCGGAGAGGUAAGUGGAAUUCCUAGUGUAGCGGUGAAAUGCGUAGAUAUUAGGAGGAACACCAGUGGCGAAGGCGACUUACUGGACGAUAACUGACGCUGAGGCUCGAAAGUGUGGGGAGCAAACAGG
rnacentral:rRNA from 1 species